CCUAAGGUAGCGAAAUUCCUUGUCGGGUAAGUUCCGACCUGCACGAAUGGCGUAAUGAUGGCCAGGCUGUCUCCACCCGAGACUCAGUGAAAUUGAACUCGCUGUGAAGAUGCAGUGUACCCGCGGCAAGACGGAAAGACCCCGUGAACCUUUACUAUAGCUUGACACUGAACACUGGUCCUUGAUGUGUAGGAUAGGUGGGAGGCUUUGAAGCGUGGACGCCAGUCUGCGUGGAGCCGACCUUGAAAUACCACCCUUUAAUGGCUGGUGUUCUAACGUAGACCCGUAAUCCGGGUUGCGGACAGUGUCUGGUGGGUAGUUUGACUGGGGCGGUCUCCUCCCAAAGAGUAACGGAGGAGCACGAAGGUUAGCUAAUCCUGGUCGGACAUCAGGAGGUUAGUGCAAUGGCAUAAGCUAGCUUGACUGCGAGAGUGACGGCUCGAGCAGGUGCGAAAGCAGGUCAUAGUGAUCCGGUGGUUCUGAAUGGAAGGGCCAUCGCUCAACGGAUAAAAGGUACUCCGGGGAUAACAGGCUGAUACCGCCCAAGAGUUCAUAUCGACGGCGGUGUUUGGCACCUCGAUGUCGGCUCAUCACAUCCUGGGGCUGAAGUAGGUCCCAAGGGUAUGGCUGUUCGCCAUUUAAAGUGGUACGCGAGCUGGGUUUAGAACGUCGUGAGACAGUUCGGUCCCUAUCUGCCGUGGGCGCUGGAGAAUUGAGGGGGGCUGCUCCUAGUACGAGAGGACCGGAGUGGACGCAUCACUGGUGUUCGGGUUGUCAUGCCAAUGGCAUUGCCCGGUAGCUAAAUGCGGAAGAGAUAAGUGCUGAAAGCAUCUAAGCACGAAACUUGCCCCGAGAUGAGUUCUCCCUGACCCUUUAAGGGUCCUGAAGGAACGUUGAAGACUACGACGUUGAUAGGUCGGGUGUGUAAGCGCAGCGAUGCGUUGAGCUAACCGAUACUAAUGAACCGUGAGGCUUAACCUUACAACGCCGAAGGUGUUU
rnacentral:rRNA from 1 species